rnacentral:rRNA from 1 species
ACGCUGGCGGCGUGCCUAAUACAUGCAAGUCGAACGCACUCUCGUUUAGAUUGAAGGAGCUUGCUCCUGAUUGAUAAACAUUUGAGUGAGUGGCGGACGGGUGAGUAACACGUGGGUAACCUGCCCUAAAGUGGGGGAUAACAUUUGGAAACAGAUGCUAACACCGCAUAAAACCUAACACCGCAUGGUGUAGGGUUGAAAGAUGGUUUCGGCUAUCACUUUAGGAUGGACCCGCGGUGCAUUAGUUAGUUGGUGAGGUAAAGGCUCACCAAGACCGUGAUGCAUAGCCGACCUGAGAGGGUAAUCGGCCACACUGGGACUGAGACACGGCCCAGACUCCUACGGGAGGCAGCAGUAGGGAAUCUUCCACAAUGGACGAAAGUCUGAUGGAGCAACGCCGCGUGAGUGAAGAAGGUUUUCGGAUCGUAAAACUCUGUUGUUGGAGAAGAAUGUAUCUGAUAGUAACUGAUCAGGUAGUGACGGUAUCCAACCAGAAAGCCACGGCUAACUACGUG